GCAGAGACCAUCUUCUCCAUUUUGGACAGGACGUGAGCCUAAGGAGGAGGAAACCUUUAACGCUACACGUGACCGUUACAGCGUUUCCAUAGGCCUUGAACUUUUCAGGAAAACAGCAUGCAGCUACAGAUGAGCCGUCCUCUUCAACCACAUCAGGCUCCUUCACGGACCUGUUCGAGAUUCUUCAGGAAUGGGGGCAGGCAGCUGGGUGGCAGCAUGGAAGGAGAGAUCACUCGGGCUGUCGCAGAGAGAUUGCUUUCCUAGCACUUUCUCAGCAAGGCUCCAGCAGACCAAGAUCAAGCUGCCACUCUACUUUUCAGCAUUCGUAGCUGUAAAAUUCCCUGUGAUAUGGGAGAGGAAGGACACAGGAGCAGAAGGUAGCAGCAGAGCAGUUGCUUUAAUGAAGUUUCUUCUCAAAAGGAUUGUGGUUUUUCCAGCAACAAUCAACAUAAACUGAAAGGUAAGACAAAGACGAAAGGCUUGCUGUGAACCUGUUCCUUCUAGUUACUGUUACUACUGCUGCUGUGUGCAGUGAUUCCCUGUCUCACUCUCUCUCGGGCCUCCCCUUUCACUGCCAGAUAGAUUCACAUAAAAUAGCUGGUAGCCAAACCACACACACAAGCCUAAUCCGCCCGCCGCUGCUUCCUGCCUCGUUCUCAGUCCAGCAGGUGACACUAGACCAUGUCCCUCUGACUGUCCCCAGCAAAACUGUAAGUUGUGAUCUUUUGAGGAAUACAUACAUAUUCAUUGUGCUAAGUAAGAUUGUAAUAUUUUCAAUACAAAAAAAAAAAAUCAAAAAUAUUAACGAUGUAAGCAGUGUAACCAAAUUUACAGUUAUACAGCCCCCUCUGUCUCUUCAUUGUGUCUUCCAUCUGUCAUCUUUCACAGAAACCACUGUCAGUGAUAACACAGCUAGGCAUUUGGCUCUAUCCUAUCAGACUAAAUUGAGACAGGAGUGGGGAGGAACAUAUGCUGGGGCAGUGGUUCUCAAACUGGUCCACUGGGACCCUCCGAUUUUUGCUUCUCCCACAUUUCUAUGUGAUCCCUGUGUAUUAAGAGGUUGGCAGCUGUGCUUCAGAAGCUUUUGCUAUGGGCACUACACCACGAGGAGGAGCCCAGAGUAUUAAAUGCUGCCUAUGAGGCCCUGAUCUCCUGCAGGAGUGCUUUGUCCUGGAGCCCAAUCCUCCGGUUCAAAGGUCUGAGCUCAAAUUAUACUGUGGCACUUUUAGGAUAGAACUUUGUUGUGUUGAAAUUGAGGUUCUGUCUUGCUCUAAGCCAUGGGUCUCAAACUUAAAUUACGUAAGCAGCACUGAUCAAGUGGUUUGGUCCAAGUCAGGGCUGGUUUAAAAAAAUGCAGAGGAAAAAGUCCUAUAUUUUUCCAAGUAUGACUUUCAACAACAUCAAGUUUUCCCAUCUCAUUCUGUCGUGUGGGGGUCCUGACCACUGAUGAACAGGGUGAAAGGCUAACAAAGUAUGCAGAGAAACAGAUGGGUCUACAGUCCUCUCGUAGACCUACAAAGUGCACCUGUAUGGUAAGUGGAGCUAAUAAAAUGGACAAUGAGUGUAGAAACAAGGAGGUGGUUUAAAUGAAAUGGCUGGUCUGCGUAUACUCUGCUCCUUUUAAGAUGCACAUUGUCUUUUUUUUUGCUCCGAUAUUUUAAUUUGAAAUGUCAGAAAAUAAGAUUAUUUUUUUUUUACCAACAGGUGUCCAAUCUGUGCACCAACUAUUAGAGUUUUCUGUAAUCUCGUUUUUGGACACUUGUAAAUUAUCUUGAACCAUUAAAUAUUAUUGGAUUGAUGUUUGUUUAUGGGAAAACGAAUAGUGCUUUUACCAGUUGCUUUUCUCGUGCUGUUCCUAACAUUUAUUUGGUUUAUCGUUUGUCUACAAGAAGAAUAUCAACAGAAAUCAGUUUUCCAGUC